UCAUUUUUAUUUAUUUUUUAGGCUUUCUAACAAUGUGCCUAAUGCCAACAUCCCGUGAUGCCACUUGUUCGACCAAGUAUGCCAUAUCCUCGCUCGAGUAAUCCGGAGGAAUUGAGAAGAUUUCAAGAAACUGGCCAGGUUGAUUUAUUUUAUUUUUAAAAAUAUUUCAUUUCAAUGUUUCUAACACCUUGCCUACUUAUAGCAUUCGACUGGAAAGAUCCCCAACGCGCAAGUGAGUCAUCAAUUAUGCCUAAUAGUGUUGACUUUGAAAUUACUAACGAACCUUCAUCCGAGGUAAUUAAAGAGACGGAGGCUGAGGGGAGUAAGAAAGUCUCGAAUGAUGAUGAACGAGUUGAAGUACUGAGAUGUGGUAUGGAGUUUUCCAAUGAGAAAGAGCUUAUGGCAUAUUACAAACGAUAUGCCAAGCAAGCGGGUUUUGGUGUGAAGACAUUUAGGACAAAGAGAGACGUACAUGGGAAUGCGACAUAUGUGACAAUUGGGUGUGCGCGUGCCGGCAAGUACAUGCCUAGCCACAGUAAUGUCUCCAGGCUACGACCCACAACUAAAACAGGAUGUAAUGCUAAGGUAAAUGCUAAACUUGCGAAUGGGGUAUGGGUUUUGACAACUAUUGAGAAUACUCACAAUCAUAGUACAGUCAGCCCAAAGAAGUCUAGAUUUUUUAGAUCUCAUAAGUGUUUAGACGAAUACAGCCAAAGGAUGCUCGAUUUGAAUGAUAGGGCAAGUAUUCGAAUGAACAAGAACUUUGGGGCACUGGUUCAAGAUGCAGGGGGUUUGAGAAUCUUGAUUUUUAAGAAAAAGAUUGUUGCAAUUUUAUUGAUAAAGCCAGACACUUACGGUUAGGUAAAGGGAGUGGCCAAGCACUUGGUGAAUACUUUGAAAGAAUGAGGGAAAUGAAUGAUGGUUUUGUUUCUGUCAUGGAUGUCGAUGAUGAGGGAAGAUUACGAAAUGUGUUCUGAGUUGACGCACGAAGUCGAGCGUCAUAUGAGUAUUUUGGGGAUGUUAUCACAUUCGACACGACGUACCUAACAAAUAGGUAUGGUAUGCCUUUUGUUCCAUUUGUUGGUGUAAACCAUCAUGGGCAGUCAAUCCUGCUAGGGGCUGGAUUAAUGUCCAACGAGGACACAAGUACAUUUGAAUGGUUGUUUCGAGUAUGGCUAAAGUCCAUGAAUGGUCGGUCGCCCAAAGCCAUCAUAACCGACCAAGAUCAGGCAAUGAAGAAUUCUAUAGCCACUGUAUUUCCAGACAGUCGUCAUAGAUAUUGUCUCUGGCAUAUCAUGCGGAAAUUGCAAGAGAAAUUAGGAUCCCACUCCCAAUUCAACUCAGGGUUGAAGUCUAGCAUUCAGAGUGCAUUAUAUGAUUCACAGAAUUGCGCUGAAUUUGAAGACAAGUGGGGGCAACUACAUCAUAAGUACGAUCUUCAGAAUAAUGCAUGGUUGCAAGGGUUAUACGAGGAGAGGUAUUUCUGGGUACCAAUUUAUUUGAAGAGUGUAUUUUGGGCUGGCAUGAGCACGACACAGCGUUCUGAAAGCAUAAAUACUUUUUUCGAUGGGUUUGUGCAUUCUGGUACAACUUUGAAGGAAUUCGUCGAUCAAUUUGACAAUACUCUCAGAAAGAAGGUGGAGGUCGAGGCGAUAGCUGAUUUCAAUUCUCUUAACCAAACAAUCUCAUGUGUAUCCCCAUCUGACAUUGAGAAAUAAUUUCAAACAGUGUAUACAAAUGCUAAGUUUAAGGAGGUCCAAAAAGAGGUGUUGGGGAUGAUUAUGUGUAAUUGCACCCACGUUAGUACCCAGGGAUGCAUAUCCACAUUCGAUGCUUUAGAUCAAGUUUCUAUCGAUGACCAUGUCAAAACAUUUAAAUACUCAGUUUACUAUAAUGAAGAGGAGUGCAACAUUAAAUGCACGUGCCAGUUGUUUGAGACAAGGGGCAUUCUCUGUAGGCAUGCAUUUAGGGUAUGUAAUAUGAAGAACAUUACGUUGAUGCCCGAAAAAUAUGUAUUGGAUCGAUGGAGGAAAGACAUUAAAAGGAGAUAUACAUUGAUAAAAAGUAGUUAUGAUGACUUGCGGAGCAAUGCAGACGCACAGAGGUAUGAGGUUGUGGUGAAGAGAUGUUUGAAAUUAGCGACUCGUGUAUCUCCAAGUGAUUACCAUGUCGAUGCAUUCCUGCGCGUUUUCGAUGACUUUGAGAAAAAAAUUGGAAGUUUAACACUUGAAUCAAAAUCCAGCUCAACCAAGGUCAAAGCAAAUGUCGUCGCAGACAAGGGUAAAAAAAUAUUAAGUCCCCACGUUAUCCGGGGGAAAGGGAGACCCCCAACGAAAAGAAAGGUUUCGGCUGUGGAGAAAGGAGCAACGAAAAGGAAGAAGAAACAAGUACCUUUCAUGCCGCUUCGAUUUUAUUGUAUAUACUCCUUUCUAAUAUAUGUCUAUUUUUCUCUGUGAUUUUAGACUUACAAAAAAAUAUUUGAUGAUGAAUCACAAUUGCGUGACCUUUCGGAAUCUCAAAUUAACACUGUCACACAACCAAUGCCAUCGGGCAAUGAGGAGGUGUGAGGUUUUGCUUAUUUAUAAUUGUUUAUACCUUCAUUUUCGAAAGUUAUUAUGCACGUGGUAUUGAAUAUUAUUUGUGUUGUUUCAGAUGUGUGACCAUAUUGAUACGUUGUAAUUCCAUGGAGUUGCCUAAUUCAGAUAAUCAUCGUCUGACUAGACAGAGGCUUGAGAAGAUUUUUUUGCAGCAUCUAGCAUGUGACUAGACUUGAGAAUUCUUUUUUGGGAGCUUGUGUACAUGCCGCUUUUCAAACAUGUGCAGAAUUUUUUGUGGACAUAACUAUUGACAGCUUGUGUGGAUAAACAUGGCUAGAUUGUGUAUAUGCUGUUUGUGGCUAGUUGUGUAUAGCAUGGCUAAAUAUUGGCAGCUUGUGGAUAAACAUGGCUAAAUGUUGUGGAUUGUGUCCAGGUGUAUGCGUGUGG